GUCAUUUCUCGAUGUGUUUGUUAUACUUGUCAGUCUGCGAUUCAUCGCGAUGGAACGAGGGGGUCACUUGGGACUCUCUUGCAGGAUGUGGGCCCUGCUAAAUAUGCCAAAUAGCUAGUUAAUUGUGAUAGCAAUAAUAACUGGGCCUUCGUGUAGCAUGCCAAUUAACGGAUACAGUGUUAUGAUUAGCGGAUUACUUACUAUUUCAUUGAAAAUAACGUUAUUGUGUUUUUUUGUGUUUAAUCAAUUGGGUCGCGUUCUGAGAAAACUGGACUUAAUGCAUUUGCGUAAACUGUCGUUCAAGAUAAGAAUGUGAAGUCAGCUAAGGCUAAUCAUGAACGACACGUUCCGCCUUAAUUGGAUUUUUGGUAAAAAGAGACUUCAUUUAAACGAAAAAUGUCAUAAAAGCGGAAAAUGUCGCCCCUGAUUAGCCUGUGCGAACUGCACAGGCUAACUGGGACGACACUUUACGCACAUGCAGUAUGCCAAGUUUUCUCAGAACACGAUUCAAUUUCAGAGAGUGAGUUCCUGAAGGAAGCGGACGUUCUGUUCAAUCUUUGUUACGAAGAGUUCAAGAAUGUGAAUAAAGAGCUAGAAAAGGAGGGGGACAAGGCCGUAACAGCCGUUGAGGCCGCAGCGGCAAAGAUGAGCAUCAAGCAGCUACUCGCGGACGUGAGGAAAUAGACUGGAAAUCCGACUACGCUACACCUACAACGACAACGGCAACUCGAAAAGCGAAGUUAGGAAAAAGAACAUGUUAAUGAUAUAAUCAAUCUUCAACGAACAUCUUGUACACAAGCUUUGUGUCUUGUGUUGUUUUUUAUGAAUAGAAUUGCAUUUGUAUACACGUUUGUGAUUAAUUAUUUUCCAUUUUAAUGUUUGAUAACACAUUGACGAACGUUUGAGAAAGUUCAUACUGUGUUGAUUUACAGUGUUUCUAACAACCUGACAUGGCCGAUUAAAAUAGUAUAACAUUGAUCAACGAAAAAGACCUAAGUAACUUGUUCAUUGAUAUUUCGAGAAGUUGUUAUGGUGGUACACAGAUAGGUUUUACAUUGCUUAGAUCACAUAUAAUUUUCAUUAAACACUUUAAGCACGUUUUA